rnacentral:rRNA from 1 species
GACGAACGCUGGCGGCGUGCUUAACACAUGCAAGUCGAACGGAAAGGCCCUGCUUUUGUGGGGUGCUCGAGUCGCGAACGGGUGAGUAACACGUGAGUAACCUGCCCUUGACUUUGGGAUAACUUCAGGAAACUGGGGCUAAUACCGGAUAGGAGCUCCUGCUGCAUGGUGGGGGUUGGAAAGUUUCGGCGGUUGGGGAUGGACUCGCGGCUUACCAGCUUGUUGGUGGGGUAGUGGCUUACCAAGGCUUUGACGGGUAGCCGGCCUGAGAGGGUGACCGGCCACAUUGGGACUGAGAUACGGCCCAGACUCCUACGGGAGGCAGCAGUGGGGAAUAUUGCACAAUGGGCGGAAGCCUGAUGCAGCAACGCCGCGUGCGGGAUGACGGCCUUCGGGUUGUAAACCGCUUUCGCCUGUGACGAAGCGUGAGUGACGGUAAUGGGUAAAGAAGCACCGGCUAACUACGUG